ACUCAAAUGAAUUGACGGGGGCCCGCACAAGCAGCGGAGCAUGUGGUUUAAUUCGAAGCAACGCGAAGAACCUUACCUAGACUUGACAUCUCCUGAAUUACUCGUAACUGAGGAAGCCCUUCGGGGCAGGAAGACAGGUGGUGCAUGGUUGUCGUCAGCUCGUGUCGUGAGAUGUUGGGUUAAGUCCCGCAACGAGCGCAACCCUUGUUGUUAGUUGCUACCAUUAAGUUGAGCACUCUAACGAGACUGCCGCGGUUAACGCGGAGGAAGGUGGGGAUGACGUCAAAUCAUCAUGCCCCUUAUGUCUAGGGCUACACACGUGCUACAAUGGGGAGUACAAAGAGACGCAAAGCCGCGAGGCGGAGCAAAACUCAAAAACUUCUCCCAGUUCGGAUUGCAGGCUGAAACUCGCCUGCAUGAAGCCGGAGUUGCUAGUAAUCGCGAAUCAGAAUGUCGCGGUGAAUACGUUCCCGGGCCUUGUACACACCGCCCGU
rnacentral:rRNA from 1 species